CACUCCUACGGGAGGCAGCAGUGGGGAAUAUUGGACAAUGGGCGCAAGCCUGAUCCAGCCAUGCCGCGUGAGUGAUGAAGGCCCUAGGGUUGUAAAGCUCUUUCACCGGUGAAGAUAAUGACGGUAACCGGAGAAGAAGCCCCGGCUAACUUCGUGCCAGCAGCCGCGGUAAUACGAAGGGGGCUAGCGUUGUUCGGAUUUACUGGGCGUAAAGCGCACGUAGGCGGACUAUUAAGUCAGGGGUGAAAUCCCGGGGCUCAACCCCGGAACUGCCUUUGAUACUGGUAGUCUUGAGUUCGAGAGAGGUGAGUGGAAUUCCGAGUGUAGAGGUGAAAUUCGUAGAUAUUCGGAGGAACACCAGUGGCGAAGGCGGCUCACUGGCUCGAUACUGACGCUGAGGUGCGAAAGCGUGGGGAGCAAACAGGAUUAGAUACCCGUGUAGUCCCAUGA
rnacentral:rRNA from 1 species